rnacentral:lncRNA from 1 species
CGGGCACCGGCCGCCGCUCGCAGAGCACCGGCCGCGCGCGGGGCUGCCGCUUCUCCGAGAGCCCAACUCCAUCUGGAUGUGUCCCGACAAUGAAGUGUCGCCUAAAUGAUAACCCGUUCAGAAGAUGCGCUCUGUGGCCCUCUGCCAGGCAGCGUGGGGAGCGUCUCUGGUCCAGACUCCUCCGCUGUGCAUCGUGCCCCUCCCAGGCUGGGGAGAGACAUCAGCCCACGUGAGAGAAAGAAGCAGAGACUGAUGGGAGUCCCACCACCUCUAACUGGCUCUGUCUGUGCCCCAGGGCCCACGGGGAGUGCUCAGACACCUGGAGCUGAUGCUGGAGCUAAGAAGGGGUCAGGACCGUGUGGGGUCAGGCUGUACCUGGGCCCUCACCGUGAUCGGAGGUGCGGGACGUGGAGCCUCGCCCCUGCUCCUGAGCAGCUGUGAGAGCCUGUGGAGCCAACCUAGCUGUGCUUGCUCAUGCUGGUGACCUCCUAGAAAGCUGAACUUCCCAAUCUGUUACCUUGUCUCCGAGGCAUAAUAUUUUCUUAAGACUCUCCCCAAGAUGCCCACUUAUCAUUAAGAACAGCUACAAAAUGUUCCAGCAAGUAUGAUCAGGUCCUGUGGGGUCUGAUUCAUCACCAGAGGGCCUCCUGUCCUGGACACUCAGAUGUCUUCGUCCUCAGUGCUCAGAAAUUUGAGAUCAAAACUAGGUGAGUGAAAAAUAAAUAAUAAAAUUAAAAAAAAAAAAAAAGAACG